ensembl:snoRNA
AUCCUUCAGUUCAUAAGCGUGAUGAUUGGGUAUUCACGCUCUUGUGUGAGAUGUGCCUCCCUCUAAACCUUGUUACGACAUCGGCACAUUACCCGUCUGACG